AUACCUUUCUCGGCCUUUUGGCUAAGAUCAAGUGUAGUAUCUGUUCUUAUCAGUUUAAUAGCUGAUAUGGGGCCACGUGCCCCAACGCUAUUAACCUAAUUUUUUGUGGGAGGGGGGCCACCGGUAGCUUGCUACCCGGCCCUCCACGUGUCGCUUUGGCCUUACACUAUCGCCUUAGCCUGGCACAACCCAA
rfam:Selaginella moellendorffii unplaced genomic scaffold SELMOscaffold_26, whole genome shotgun sequence.